rnacentral:rRNA from 1 species
AGCCAGACUCCUACGGGAGGCAGCAGUGGGGAAUAUUGGGCAAUGGAGGAAACUCUUACCCAGCAAUGCCGCGUGAAUGAAGAAGGUCUUCGGAUUGUAAAGUUCUUUAAUUGGGGACGAAAAAAAUGACGGUACCCAAGGAAUAAGCCCCGGCUAACUACGUGCCAGCAGCCGCGGUAAUACGUAGGGGGCAAGCGUUAUCCGGAUUCACUGGGUGUAAAGGGAGCGUAGACGGCGACGCAAGUCUGGAGUGAAAGCCCGGAGCCCAACCCCGGGACUGCUCUUGGAACUGCGCGGCUGGAGUGCAGGAGGGGCAGGCGGAAUUCCUGGUGUAGCGGUGAAAUGCGUAGAUAUCAGGAGGAACACCGGUGGCGAAGGCGGCCUGCUGGACUGCGACUGACGUUGAGGCUCGAAAGCGUGGGGAGCGAACAGGAUUAGAUACCCUUGUA